rnacentral:rRNA from 1 species
GACGAACGCUGGCGGCGUGCUUAACACAUGCAAGUCGAGCGGUAAGGCCCUUUCGGGGGUACACGAGCGGCGAACGGGUGAGUAACACGUGGGUGACCUGCCUUUAGCUCUGGGAUAAGCCUGGGAAACCGGGUCUAAUACCGGAUAUGACUCCGCGGCGCAUGUUGUGGGGUGGAAAGCCUUGUGCGGCUGGAGAUGGGGCCCGCGGCCUAUCAGCUUGUUGGUGGGGUGAUGGCCUACCAAGGCGACGACGGGUAGCCGGCCUGAGAGGCGACCGGCCACACUGGGACUGAGACACGGCCCAGACUCCUACGGGAGGCAGCAGUGGGGAAUCUUGCGCAAUGGGCGAAAGCCUGACGCAGCGACGCCGCGUGAGGGAUGACGGCCUCGGUUGUAA